rnacentral:misc_RNA from 1 species
UGGACAGCAGCCUAAAACCCAUCCAAACUCCAAAUCUAUCAACUAGGCUACGGUCGAGGUACUCUGGCAAACGGACAGCACUGACGACGACUGGACGGCGACCAGCGGCGCAGGCUGCAGACGGCGAACGGAGGUGGUGCGAGGUGGGCGACGGCGGUGAGGCUCCCUUCCCUUCUGUUCGCGUGUGAGAGAGACAGACAGACUGACAAACAAACCCACGACCACGGCGUUAACGGAGAAGAGCGGCGACAGCCUACGGCGCGAGCGUGUGGCGGACGGAGGUGGAAGAGAACCUACUUCAGCUGGCGCAUGCGGUCGAGAAGAUGAAAACGGAGUAGAAGGG